CUAUGCGCCUUGCCAGCCCGCUCAGGUGUGCCAGCAGCCGCGGUAAUACGUAGGGGCAAGCGUUAUCCGGAUUUACUGGGUGUAAAGGGAGCGUCGACGGCAGCGCAAGUCUGGAGUGAAAUCCCAUGGCUUAACCAUGGAACUGCUUUGGAAACUGUGCAGCUGGAGUGCAGGAGAGGUAAGCGGAAUUCCUAGUGUAGCGGUGAAAUGCGUAGAUAUUAGGAGGAACACCAGUGGCGAAGGCGGCUUACUGGACUGUAACUGACGUUGAGGCUCGAAAGCGUGGGGAGCAAACAGG
rnacentral:rRNA from 1 species